UGAGAACUUAGUCCGUAGGCUUCACUCUCC
rnacentral:piRNA from 1 species